AGGAAGCAAGGCAGCGUGCAGGCAGACAUGGUGCUGGAGAGGGAGCCAAUUGUUCUACAGCGAGAUCUGUAGGCAGCAGGGAGAGAGAGAGGGGGGAGAGAGAGAGAGAGAGAGAGAGAGAGAGAGGAGAGAGAGAGAAAGAGAGAGAGAGACUGGGCUUGGCCUGAGCUUUUGAAAUUGCAAAACUCAUCCCCCAGUGACACAUCUUCUCCAACAAGGCCACACCUCCUAGUCUCUGUCAGAGAGCACCAAUGACCAAGCAUUCAAAUAUCUGAGCUACUGGAGGCUGUUCUUAUUCAAACCAGCACAUCUUUCUACACGCCGAUGUUGCAGUGCCUCAACAGCUUCCCUUUCCUAGAGUUCUGGUACUGUUGUUGAGAGUCUGAGAGUCAGCUGACCUUAAAGGACAAUGAAAUGCCACACUGAAGUUUCAGAUGGAGAAAUAGGUGGGAGGAGGUGACCAGUUGCAGGUUUUGGGUGUUUUUCAUGUGACUUCUGGAUUGCAGCUCAUGGAUGCUGGAACAAAGAGGCUGGGGCUUGCGGAUUUCUCUGGCUGUGGAGACUUGUGGUGAAGGACAUAUGGCCAGCUGCUGGGAACUGAUUCUACUUGAGAGCUUGUGAAAAAUAACAUUAUUUUUUAUAUUGGAGCCAAGAUCACUGUAUGAAGCAGGAUGCAACUUGAUCAUGAUAUUUUUUUCUAAAGCCAAACCAUGAACUUUCCAGUGAAGUUUAUGAGAGGAAGCCCUUCCCCUGGUUUCCUUACAGUCUAUGUCCAUCUUGGUUCUCACUUGUAAUACACACGGAAGACUAUAGAGUGCUGACACAUGGUCUCUUGUGUGCAGCAUAGUCCAGGAUGUGGUCUUGGCCUCCUACAGGCCUUACCUGCCACUCUGUACUGAAGCUUCCUCCCAGCUAGAUGCCACCC
rnacentral:lncRNA from 1 species